rnacentral:misc_RNA from 1 species
UGUGGGAGCGGGCUUGCUCGCGAAUGCGGUGUGUCAGGCAAUACAUCUGGCACUGAUACACCACUAUCGCGAGCAAGCCCGCUCCCACA